rnacentral:rRNA from 1 species
AUGCGGCACGCCCACUGCCUUUCACUUUCCCCUCAUCUUCUGACCUCGUCUUCCGCUGAUGCUUCCGACCUCGUCUCUUCCCCUGAUGCUUCUCGCGGUACAUUUUCCCCCAUCCAUGCCGCGCACAUCUUCAUCUCCUUUGACCUAAUGAGUAGCACACCUUUCCUUCUUUCACUCCCGCAUGACCCAAGCUCUUCCCCUUCUCGGUGCAACUCGUGGACAUUCGAGCUGCCUCGACUGUUGUGGGGUUCUGCAACUGUGGCCACCCGGUGCUGGAAUGGACCAAUGGUGAUGUUGGAACCCUCGGUGGUGGCGGAUGCUGUAGCCGGCAAGGAGGUUGUUGGAGACGAUGCUACGACGGUGAUGUUUUUCGCUGCAACCAUGGUCGAUGAAUGUUGGAACCAACAUGGGGUGCUGCGAUCGAGGCCACGGGGGUGCUGGAAUCUAUUGAUGACGCUGUUGGAACCGGCUGUGGCGGAUGCUACGGUGUUGACGGUUUUGCAACCAUGA